rnacentral:rRNA from 1 species
CACGUAGGCGGACUGUUAAGCGUCUUGUGAAAUCCCUCGGCUCAACCGAGGAACUGCUUGGCGAACUGGCAGUCUUGAGGCAAGUAGGGGCGCGCGGAACUCUUGGUGGAGCGGUGGAAUGCGUAGAUAUCAAGAGGAACGUCGGAGGCGAAGGCGGCGCGCUGGGCUUGUCCUGACGCUGAGGUGCGAAAGCUAGGGGAGCGAACAGGAUUAGAUACCCUGGUAGUCC